GACGAACGCUGGCGGCGUGCUUAACACAUGCAAGUCGAACGAAAAGAGGGAAAGAGCUUGCUCUUUCCGGAAUUGCGUGGCAAACGGGUGAGUAACACGUAAACAACCUGCCUUCAGGAUGGGGACAACAGACGGAAACGACUGCUAAUACCGAAUAAGUUCCAAGAGCCGCAUGGCCCAUGGAAGAAAAAGUGGCCUCUACCUGUAAGCUCUCGCCUGACGAGGGGUUUCCGUCUGAUUAGCUGGUUGGAGGGGUAACGGCCCACCAAGGCGACGAUCAGUAGAAGGUCUGAGAGGAGGAAAGGCAACACUGGAACUGAGACACGGUCCAGACUACUACGGGAGGGAGCAGUGGGGAAUCUUCCGGAAAGGGAGAAAGCGGGACGGAGCAACGACGCGUGAGUGAUGACGGCAGUAGGGUUGUAAGACUCUGUGAGCCGGGACGAAAAGGAAGAGUGCGAAGAACAAACGGCAUUGACGGUACCGGAAAAGCAAGCCACGGCUAACUACGUG
rnacentral:rRNA from 1 species